AUGGUUUUUCACAUGGGCGCUCUAACAAAUACUGGAGUUAUGGCAAAUGUAGGAAUGGGCUAAGCUCCGUUGAACUCGAGGCAUAGGCGCGUGAUGCCAGCGUGGCUGAAUGUAUGCAUUUGCUGGCAAAGGAAUGCUACAACAGGUCGCUGAAACUCUGAAGACUAUUGCUUUCUUCUGCUAGGCUCAUCAACAGACCACACACGAAGCCAGACACAGCGGAGUAGCAUGACUGUGAAAUUUUGUUUGUGCAGCUAUGUUCAUAUGGUCAUACAGUGGUAGUCACUGCUUGUAGCAGCGCUAUGACAGUACUACGACAUUGUGGUGUCAAGAGCAUGCGGAAUCGGAAGAGUACUACAAACUUCCGCAAAUACAGGACAUUUGUACAGAGAUACAAAUGUUCACCUUAUGGGAAGUUAACUGAGACAAAAACAGUGCAGACUCCCACAGCUGGAGAAUUACUUCCGCAUGCUCAUGGCAAUAGGCGUCUCCCGGCCUACGCCACGACGAGUUGGUCACGUGAUACACGAGCACAUGCGGCAGCAUUUCGUGGGCGAAAGGCGCGCGAGCCGACAGUUUCGUGCAUCAAUGGUUUUCAAUUUUUUUUUUUUUUUUUUUUUUUUUGGGGGGGGGGGGUUCGGUUCGUCACGCCGGUGAGCUGCUGCGUGGGUAGAUGCCUAUCUCGCUCGAAAUAAGUCAGUGGGAUUGCCUUUUUUUUUUUUCGCAAGAGACGAGAAGCGGCGACAAACGUGGGUGCUGGAACUGCGCCGCAAUGAAUUCCAGCCGUCAGACGUCGACAGAAUAUUCGAGUUCACUUUACCACGGAGCAUCAAGGGGACGCUGAUUGCUGCGCAUCGGACUUCGUACCAGCCAAGCAAAAGAAAACGCCACCAAAGUACAAAUCUACAACAUCCUCGGUCGUGCUUGAAUCAAACGACGCUGUUGAGUCUCAGCGCCUCCGCAGGGAUCCAGCGACGACGGCAGCCAGGAUAGCCUACAAAAGCAGGCUUCUAUCGGGCUCCUCAGUAUGGUGCAGUGUCCUUGCCAUCUUCGCAGCACUCAUACUUUUUCACAUACGCAGGAGACGUGUCAGAGCUUCGCUGAUGCCGGGAACAUGCGGAAUGACGAGGCUACGUUGGCCGGGGUCAUCACGUGGUUCCGUAGGUCGCGAGGCACUUUUUUCCGAAGAAGCAAUAAAGUUUUUUUUGGGUAGCUGCACGCGUUGGGCUCGCGUCGAAUGCGGGCGAAAUUAGAAUCCAAGUCUUCUGGCUUACUACAAAUCCUUUGGGUUCUUUGUAUUAAUGAGAAUACCACGGACCGCUUGUAGCACACAGGGUUUACAGAAGUGAAAUGAAGAUACCGCCCUGGUGCGUGUCCUUCCAGUGAACGUUGACAGAUAACCGCUGUCUGUCCCGUUCUGCCACUACGUCUGGAAAAGGUAGCCGUCCAGAAACCUCCUCUUCGACGGUUAAAUUUGUGGCUUUCUCAAUGCUAUUUAGGCGAUCCGUGAAGGCAGCCAGGGCAUCUUUUUUAUAACGCAAAAGCAAUCGUCAAGAUAGCGGAAGAAAACUUUCGGAGGAGGAUAAAAGAAAGCCAAAGCCCGGCUUUCCAUGGAAACCAUAGGCAGAUUUGCAGCGGUUACAGAAAUCGACGCGCCCAUACGGGUUCCGUGCACUUGCUUGUAAGUGGAAGAAUAGAUGUCACCAAUUAAGUUGGUGACAUUUAUUUCGUGACUGAAGAGAGCUCCUGAAAAGCUAAAUGGAUUUAUUCGUUGUCUGCGCUUGCGGUGCCAUGUGCAGAAGUGUGUCUGGGGUCAUUUGAUAACUUCAUCAAAUUACUCCAGUGUGUUCUAAAUCUGCAUUGCCGCAACGCAAAUCGAAAAGUUCAACAAAUCUGGGGCCGAAUUCACAAAGCUUUUCAUUCGGAAGCGCUCUUUUGCCAUUGGCUGGUCGCAUUCGCUAAUGAUAUGCCCAGCAUCAGGAUUGGCUGAAAUUUUCGCUUACGAACACUACUAUGCGUAAGAGCCUUUUUUGAAUACGGGCCCACCUUCCCAAACUGGUGCAGCGCAGAAAGGGCAGUUGAAGGUGGUCUCGGCAUAGCCCCGCUGUGCAUGAAAGAAUUGUGUGCACUGGCAGUUAAGUCAUCGUGUUUUAAUUGACAGGCACCCACAAGAGCACUCGCUAAAUAUCGAACAUAGGAACUUGCGCUGAUGCCGCAGUGGGUAGCGAACCUCUACACAAUGAAAGGCGACUGACGAAGGAGCUGCAGACUUCGUUUAAAAAACUCUGUGUGCGUGACUUUUCUUUUUUGUUUAAGAACGGCAGCGGUGCACUAGUUACACCCACUCGCUCGUAAGAAGACUUCGAAACCGCGUACGUCACCACAUGUGAGUGACAAUGUUUGUAUUUGACUAAUCCAUGGAGCUUCAAUCACCGACGAAAAUUGUUAUUACGCACCGUGCAGGUUCCAAUUUCUGUGAUGAAGAGAAACCUGCGGUAAAACACUCUUUACGCAAUUGUUCUUCCUUUAAAGGGUAAAUAGAGGCCUGUUGCAUCAUCAUAAAUACAGUUUAGACAGCAAACCAUUCUAAGAAAGCAAGGCUCUACCUUGCUGUGUCCACAACCCCAAGAGAUCAAAGACACUGUGCUGGUUUGUAAAAAUCUUAGGUCACAGAUGAUCAGUCAGAUCGGUUGACGGGUUGGGUGUGUAGUCGUCACGAGUCUGUACAAUGCUUACAAUUUUUUUUUUCCGUUAUCCAUUCUCCGAAUUAUUCAUCUUCCCCACGGCAUUCUAGCCGACCGGACCCAAACUUUCCCCAUCUCUUCCUGCUGUGCUGCGAAUAGGUCGAGGUUUAAAAAUAACCCGGUUUCUCCAUUUAGAUUAGUUCCGCUAUGAAAAUAAAAAAGGGUGAAAUUUUCCCUUCCCUUGUCUUUCUUUCCCAACACAGCGUACAUAAUCGUAUGUGUAUGUUGCCAGCUCUCUCACCACUCCGUCGUUCUUCUGCAAAUUCCCUGACUGCCUCCUGCGAUAGUUAGCAUUGUAGCAGCAGCGGCUUAAUCAGUGGUCUUGAUAACAUUACCAUUUUGCUCUUUAGUGCCGCUGCCUAACAAUAACAAGUGCCGUCAAAGCCUUGACAGGCACAAGAGCCCUGCACUGUAAAACUAUUCUAAUCUGUUUUUAUUCUGAUCUCUGGAU